UACGAAGGGGACUAGCGUUGUUCGGAAUUACUGGGCGUAAAGCGCAUGUAGGCGGCAGCGCAAGUCGGGCGUGAAAUCCCACGGCUCAACCGUGGAAGUGCACUCGAAACUGCGCAGCUAGAGUCCUGGAGAGGAAGGUGGAAUGCUUGGUGUAGAGGUGAAAUUCGUAGAUAUCAAGCGGAACACCGGUGGCGAAGGCGGCCUUCUGGACAGUGACUGACGCUGAGAUGCGAAAGCGUGGGGAGCAAACAGG
rnacentral:rRNA from 1 species